rnacentral:lncRNA from 1 species
CCAGGGCCAUUUCAAGGGCACCUGCCAUAACAGCUAUUUUUCUAAACACCCCAUUUCUCUCUGUUUUUACAGACACGCGCGAGGAAGGCUGAGAGGCCGGGGGAGUGGCCUGGGCCCCCUCUCCACCCCAGGCGUGGCCUCACCGCCCAUCGGGGCAGAGCGCAGCGCCGCCAUUUUGUGGAGAGAGCGCAGGACCGGCAGCUUCAUCCUGUCUGCUUCAACUGCCGCCACUAUGCUGUCAGCCCGUCUGGCUGCCACCCUCGCCCGCUCUUUGCCGCGAUUUCCAGAAACACCCUGGGUGCAGCAUUUGUUGUCACAAGAAACAUCCAUGCUUCCAAAACAUGUUUCCAGAAAACCGGUGAGUUGGAAGAAAGGCCUUUAUUAUAAGAGUACUGUUUAAGACCUUGAUCAGUCAGGCAAGGUAAUUUGAACUUGGAGUGUGAGGUGCGUGUCAGCAGACAAAACAUUUGAGGAUGCUUAUGUACUGCUAGUGUUGGGAAGUAAAAUAUCAGUUACACGGUCACAUCUGUCAGACUUAACUUUAAUAAUUGUUCAAAGUAUGUCCAAACCAAUGGAGUGGUCACAUGUCAGCUGUCUUACUCAGCUUAUUUGCCUCCCAAAUAUCCAAUUCAGUCUUUCAGUCCUGCAGAACUAUCUGAAAAAUGACUCAAAUUCCAAUUUCCUGUCUGCUUGUUGGCAACAUUAGGGAAAGGAUGGCUUUCUCUUGCCUGCUUGAGUUUGACCUUGUGUCCUUAAUUAUAACUCCUGUGCUGCUAGCAUCUUAAGAAGGCAGCAGCACUGCAUAGCUGUGUUUUGGUAGCAGUUCAUUGAAGGGAUGCAAGGCACGGACUGCUGAUGGUUCUUGAACAGGAACUUUAUUGCCCUUUUUCAUUGCUACAUAUAUUUUCCCCAUAGCCCCACAUGCUGUCCACGUGCCCAAAUCUAUCAUAAAAUUGGUUAGAGACCCUCAGACACGCGCCUCAAGCCAGCCAGCAAUUGGCCGCUGCCCAAAGCUCAUCUUUAACACUGUAGCCAAUUUACUUUAUCUCGACCUUGCUCAAGUUUUUGUUUCUACCUCUUGUUUCCUCAUUAUCUCUAAUUCAGGGACAUGUGAA